rnacentral:rRNA from 1 species
CCCUUAGAUGUUCUGGGCCGCACGCGUGCUACACUGAGUGGAUCAGCGGGUCAGGUUGCGCGAAAGCGUUUCCUAAUCUUGAAAUCCGCUCGUGAUGGGGAUUGACGGUUGCAAUUUUCUGUCAUGAACGAGGAAUACCUUGUAAGCGCGAGUCAUCAUCCCGCGCUGAAUACGUCCCUGCCCUUUGUACACACUGCCCGUCGCUCCUACCGAUUGAGUGGUCCGGUGAGGCUUUGGGAUCUGAGCGGAAAGAGCGUUUCGCUCGUUCUGCCCGGAAAACUCAGUCGAACCUUAUCAUUUAGAGGAAGGAGAAGUCGUAACA